rnacentral:misc_RNA from 1 species
GUGAAUCAUCGAAUCUUUGAACGCACAUUGCGCCCUUUGGCAUUCCGAGGGGCACGUCUGUUCGAGCGUCAUUUAAAUCAUCAAGCACAGCUUGGUCUUGGGCGAGGUCGAGCGACCCGUCCGCAACCCGUUGGCGGUACCGUCCGGCUUCAAGCGUGGCAGAAAAUUUCGCUUCGGGAGCUCUGGCGGCGCCGGCCAGGUAACCUUCACCUAAAGUUUGACCUCGGAUCAGACGGGGAUACCCGCUGAACUUAAGCAUAUCAAUAAGCGGAGGA